AACCUGAGACGUGACACUGAAAAUCAGUAGAAGAAAUACGCCACAUUUAUUCUACCGGGGAAGACAGUGGGAAACCUGAAACUGCCAUUGAGCAGAAGGAAAACAUCCCUUUCCAGAACCUUUCUCGUUUUUCUAAAAAUCUGCACUUUUGGAAGUGAUCCCCCAAAGAGACCUCCAGACUCUACCAUGAGUGUCUCCAGCUGAACUCAUCGUGUCUAAUCCUCACCCUAGCUUAUCCUGUUCAAAUCAUUUCCAUCUUUUUCUGGAUGAACCUGGGCGGAUGUCAGACCAGAGAAGAGCACAGAAUGUACCAGAGAGAUGCGGUGAUGGGAGCCAUAUACACAAAGAUGAAGGACUGGCUACAGCUUUCACAGACCUUACAACCUACUGAGAGAGCAAAGACACAGUGAAGAGAUCAUUCAGAAUACAGUCCAACUCCAAGAUCAUUGGGAGAGCUUAUUUGAAGACCAGAAAGGUUACUGAACAUGGUGACUCUCUUCAAAGCCAGACCUUUGUCCUUGAAUUUAGGGCUUCAAAAAACAAUAGUAGGGCCGGGCGCAGUGGCUCAUGCCUGUAAUCCCAACACUUUGG
rnacentral:lncRNA from 10 species